GUGGAUUAGAUACCCUGGUAGUCCACGCCCUAAACGAUGCGAACUGGAUGUUGGGCUCAACUCGGAGCUCAGUGUCGAAGCUAACGCGUUAAGUUCGCCGCCUGGGGAGUACGGUCGCAAGACUGAAACUCAAAGGAAUUGACGGGGGCCCGCACAAGCGGUGGAGUAUGUGGUUUAAUUCGAUGCAACGCGCAGAACCUUACCUGGCCUUGACAUGUCCGGAAUCCUGCAGAGAUGCGGGAGUGCCUUCGGGAAUCGGAACACAGGUGCUGCACGGUCGUCGACAACU
rnacentral:rRNA from 1 species